rnacentral:rRNA from 1 species
CAGUCGCCGCGGUAAUACGGAGGGGGCUAGCGUUGUUCGGAAUUACUGGGCGUAAAGCGCACGUAGGCUGCUUUGUAAGUUAGAGGUGAAAGCCUGGUGCUCAACACCAGAACUGCCUUUAAGACUGCAGAGCUAGAACGUCGGAGAGGUGAGUGGAAUUCCGAGUGUAGAGGUGAAAUUCGUAGAUAUUCGGAAGAACACCAGUGGCGAAGGCGGCUUACUGGCUCAUUCUAGACGCUGAGGUGCGAAAGCGUGGGGAGCAAACAGGAUUAGAUACCCGCGUAGUCCCUGUCUCUUAUAC